CAAACUGUGGUCCGCAGACCACCAGUGGUCUAUGAGCUCCAUGCAGGUGGCCCGCGGAUAGUUCUCUCUAAGGUGCGCACCGGGGCAGCCACACAUGAGAGAAUGAAGGGCCACCCACCUAAUUAGUGGUGCCGCGCAGGUAUGGCGCCACUAAUUAGGUGCCCUGACCCUGGAGAAGACGCACAUGUAAGGAACUAUACUUCGACUGUAAGUAAAUAAUGCCCACUGUGCAGCUGUAUUUGAGAUCAAAUACUUUCCAUUGGCAAUGAAAGUCAGAUCUGAACCUAUGUCUCCAGAGAAGAAAUACUAAUACAGUAUACUAAAUUACUGAUUAGCGAACUCCUCCCAUCAGAAUACGGUUUGUUUAAAAGUAUUAUUUUACUCAGUUAAGCACCUGAGUACUACUUAACUUCAACGGCCUGAAUAAAAAAAAAAAAAAAAAAAGCUUAAAUAGA